CAGCAGCCGCGGUAGUACGUAGGGUGCAAGCGUUAAUCGGAAUUACUGGGCGUAAAGCGUGCGCAGGCGGUUCUAUAAGACAGAUGUGAAAUCCCCGGGCUCAACCUGGGAACUGCAUUUGUGACUGUAGAGCUGGAGUGCGGCAGAGGGGGAUGGAAUUCCGCGUGUAGCAGUGAAAUGCGUAGAUAUGCGGAGGAACACCGAUGGCGAAGGCAAUCCCCUGGGCCUGCACUGACGCUCAUGCACGAAAGCGUGGGGAGCAAACAGGAUUAGAUACCCCAGUAGUCCCUGUCUCUUAUAC
rnacentral:rRNA from 1 species